rnacentral:lncRNA from 1 species
UUGUGAUGUGCUAAUUUACUGGGGUAUAGAUUAGUUUGGUAUUUGCCUAUGUGUUUGAGAAGACUUAGAAGGGAAAUAUCAUAUCAGCUGGCACUUGAAGAUGAACUAGGAAUUUACAACUUGAUUCAAAUGUCUUAAUAACCCUUAUAUCUAUGAAUUAAUCUAUGAAUUAGCCUCUCUCUCUUUCUGUUUACUCUAGAGCAAAACAUAAUAGUUCUGGAACAGAAAAUGGCAAGGAUUAAAAUUUUAAAGCAAAAUGAAGUAGCAAAGGAAAAUCUAGGAGUUGAUUGAAUAUAGGAAACUUUAAGUUACAUUUAUAUUCUAAAUAUUUUAGUUGGUAAAAUUGUUUUUAACGUAAGUAAAUGUGGGAAACACAGUACUUUAAAAAAGAGCUAAAUUGUUGGAACAUGUCUUCAUCUAAUCCCAGGACAAGGACUCAAUGAUGGGGCGAAAUUGAGAGUGUUGACAAGGUAUUCAUCUUAGAUACUAACAGCAGUUCUGGCUGCAUGCAGUGGAAGUAAGAGUUAUGAGUAUAGUAAUUGGAGUCUUUAAUUGGUGUGUUAGGUUAGUGCAUCAUGGGUAUGUGCGUGGGAAGUUUGGUGUGUGGAGGGGAUGUGUA